rnacentral:sRNA from 1 species
UGUCUGUAUUUAUCUCAAGGCUUGCAUGAUGAAAGCGAGGAAAUCAGUCGUGUACCAAGACGCUUCUAUUUACUGGAAAGACACGAUUGUUGACUUUCUAGACAGGGGAGACAAACUUGGUCUACAAAUAUGGGGAGGUAAAGACAUGCACAACAUCCCUGUGACCACAUUGAAGGGAACGUUUGACUUCUUUGGGGAAGAGCCUUGUGCCUACCUGAACUAUACGUCCCUCCAGGCUGGAAUCAAUGUAUUUAAACAAACACCUUUUGUAGUUAGAACUAUACUGGAACCUUGGGCAAAAUGUGCUCUAGAACCUGAUUGUAUAUGCCCAGGAUGUACAAAAAACCACCUCAAUUGUUUCAAACCUAAAAAAGAAA